GAUGAACGCUAGCUACAGGCUUAACACAUGCAAGUCGAAGGACGGGCGCAGGGGUGCGUAACACGUAUCCAACGUGCACUUUCCUCUGAGAUAGCCUUUCGAACGAAAGAUUAAUACCCGAUAUAAAGGAUGGGGGUGCGUUCCAUUAGGUUGUUGGUGAGGUAACGGCCCACAAAGACUUCGACGGAGAGGGGUUGUGAGAGGAAGGUCCCCCAGAUUGGAACCGAGACACGGUCCAAACCGCUACGCGACGCAGCAGUUACGAAUAUUGGUGACUGGGCGGUAGCCGGAAAAAGCCAAGUAACGUGAAGAAGGAAGGCGUAGUGGUACUAUGUUUCUUGUAUAUAAGAAUAUGUAUUAUAUGAAUAAGGAUCGGCUAACUCCGUGCCAGCAGCCGCGGUAAUAC
rnacentral:rRNA from 1 species